rnacentral:misc_RNA from 1 species
UGAGAAGGAAAUUAUUUUGAGGUCACAGAGUACUUUGGAAAUGUAGUUCAAUGCUUAUAAUCGUAUCUGUGCAGUAAUGGGUAAACAGGAAAGCGGAAAUCUUUUUCCGGCCCUUGAUGAAAAAGGGCGUCCAGGAUUCGAAUGCGUUUAAUAAUUUGAUCUGUGGGCAUGCAAAAGAAGGGUCUUCUGAUUCUGCUUUUGAAAUUAUAA